GUCUACGGCCAUGCCACCCUGAACAAGCCUCAUCCUGUCUGAUUUCAGAAGCUAAGUAGGGUCAGGCCUAGUUAAUACUUGGAUGAGAGAUCACCUAGGAACACCAGGUGCUGAAGGUG
rnacentral:rRNA from 1 species